rnacentral:rRNA from 1 species
UGGGAAUAUUGCGCAUUGGGGGAUACAAUGACGCAUAAAUAUCGACUGAGUUAAGAAGGUUUUUGGAGCGUAACGCUUUGUUCUUGAGGACGAAAAAAAGACGGUACGCAAGAAGCAAGUCUCGGCUAACUAUGUGCCAGCAGCCGCGGUAAUACGUAGGGGACAAGCGUUGUCCGGAUUUACUGGGCGUAAAGGGCACGCAGGCGGUUUUUUAAGUCAGAUGUGAAAGGUACCGGCUCAACCGGUGACAUGCAUUUGAAACUGAAAGACUUGAGUAUUGGAGAGGCAAGUGGAAUUCCUAGUGUAGCGGUGAAAUGCGUAGAUAUUAGGAGGAACACCGGUGGCGAAGGCGGCUUGCUGGACAAAUACUGACGCUGAGGUGCGAAAGCGUGGGGAGCAAACA